rnacentral:lncRNA from 1 species
CUCAGCCUCUCAGCCAAGGCUUUAUCUUUUAAUCAGUUGUGUUCACCACCAGUUAAUUGUUUGUGCAUGCCAAGACUCAGACACAUUGGAUUCAUUACACGCAGAGGGAAAAUAGAAGCUUGAUGACCUGAUAGGUGCUAAUGCAGUGUGUGAUUACUACAAAGCUACACAGGCCUCCUGCUCCUGAGAGGAGAUGAAUACACUCAAUCAAACCAGUGCUCUCUGUCCUGGCCCUGUAUCAACCCGCUGAAGAAUGGCAGCAAAUCAGUAGUUUGAUUAUGUAAAGUAAAACCACAGGAGGGGCAUACAUGGUACGUAGGCAUGUAGUAGUGUUAAAUCCUGCAUACAGGAC